CAGCCGCCACGGGAAUACGAAGGGGGCUAGCGUUGCUCGGAAUUACUGGGCGUAAAGGGAGCGUAGGCGGGUCGUUUAGUCAGAGGUGAAAUCCCGGGGCUCAACCUCGGAACUGCCUUUGAUACUGGCGACCUUGAGUAUGGGAGAGGUGAGUGGAACUCCGAGUGUAGAGGUGAAAUUCGUAGAUAUUCGGAAGAACACCAGUGGCGAAGGCGACUCACUGGCCCAUUACUGACGCUGAGGCUCGAAAGCGUGGGGAGCAAACAGGAUUAGAUACCCCAGUAGUCCCUGUCUCUUAUAC
rnacentral:rRNA from 1 species